GGAGAGAUGGCUGAGUGGUCGAAAGCGCUCCCCUGCUAAGGGAGUAAGUGCUUAAAAGGCGCUUCCCGGGUUCGAAUCCCGGUCUCUCCGCCA
rnacentral:tRNA from 1 species